CUGUUUUAUGACUUUUUUUAAUAUCUGUGUGAGCCUCAGAUAUAUAGAGUAGAUCUUUUGUGGCCCCAAUGUGAGAAUCCUGGUUUAAACAGUGAAAGUUCCACACACAAUAUAUCUUCAGAUGUUGAUGAUUAAUCACUGUGUACUGCAAGGUUAGCAGAUAAGAUUUGAAUAGGUUUUUUUUUUUUUUUAAAGCAGGUGAACGGUAAUUAUUAAAUUAAAUGGCACUCCGGGAAUUCACAAUCUCCAUGGCUCUAUGUAUUAAUGGACCCUCAAUGGCCCAGGAGAUGCCUAAAUGCCCAGUCUGCUUCACCAGAGGACAAGCGGAGUAAUGAGGAGACUAGACAUGUGCAAUUCAUUUCGUUCCGAAUGUACAUUCGUACAAAUUUCAUGACAUUCGGAUGCUUAUGUCCGAAGUGACGAAGUUCAGUAGUUCGGAAAUUGUUUGGAUUUCAAAAGUGGCAAAACAAGAGAUAGGGAGGGAAAAUGAUGUGAAUGAUGGCAGGAAUCUUGACCAAUAAGCUAAUUUCUUUUGUGCAAUGUAAUGCUUGCUUGCCCAAUCCGGUUUCACUAUUCCCAAGCCAAGUAAUGGUGAUUUUGUUACUGACACUUGGCCAAUGAAGGCACACAGAGUCAUUGAGGUGGGAUAGUAUAUAAAUCAGGCUGUCAGGGUGUUGACUUACAUUCAUGUGACCAGUGGACAU